ACAUAGGGUGCAAGCGUUAAUCGGAAUUACUGGGCGUAAAGGGUGCGCAGGCGGUCUUAUAAGUCAGAUGUGAAAUCCCCGAGCUCAACUUGGGAACUGCGUUUGAAACUAUAAGACUAGAGUGUGUCAGAGGGGGGUAGAAUUCCAUGUGUAGCAGUGAAAUGCGUAGAUAUGUGGAGGAAUACCAAUGGCGAAGGCAGCCCCCUGGGAUAACACUGACGCUCAUGCACGAAAGCGUGGGGAGCAAACAGG
rnacentral:rRNA from 1 species